rnacentral:rRNA from 1 species
GACGAACGCUGGCGGCGUGCUUAACACAUGCAAGUCGAACGAGAAGCUCAUAUUGGAACCUUCGGGUGAAGAGAUGAGUGGAAAGUGGCGAACGGGUGAGUAACGCGUAGGUAACCAACCUUAUACAGGGGGAUAGCCCAGGGAAACCUGGAUUAAACCCGCAUAAGACCACAUCAUUGCAUGAUGAAGUGGUAAAAACUACGGUGGUAUGAGACGGACCUGCGUCUUAUUAGGUAGUUGGUGAGGUAACUGCUCACCAAGCCAACGAUGAGUAGCCGACCUGAGAGGGUGAUCGGCCACAUUGGGACUGAGACACGGCCCAGACUCCUACGGGAGGCAGCAGUGGGGAAUAUUGCGCAAUGGGGGGAACCCUGACGCAGCAACGCCGCGUGAGUGAUGAAGGUUUUCGGAUCGUAAAGCUCUGUCUUGAGGGAAGAUAAUGACGGUACCUCAGGAGGAAGCCCCGGCUAACUACGUGCCAGCCGCCGCAGUAAAAC